rnacentral:rRNA from 1 species
AAGCCGUUGAUCGGUACGGGUUGUGAGAGCAAGAGCCCGGAGAUGGAACCUGAGACAAGGUUCCAGGCCCUACGGGGUGCAGCAGGCGCGAAACCUCCGCAAUGUGAGAAAUCGCGACGGGGGGAUCCCAAGUGCCAUUCUUAACGGGAUGGCUUUUCAUUAGUGUAAAGAGCUUUUGGAAUAAGAGCUGGGCAAGACCGGUGCCAGCCGCCGCGGUAACGCCGGCAGCUCUAGUGGUAACAAUUUUUAUUGGGCCUAAAGCGUCCGUAGCCGGUUUAAUAAGUCUCUGGUGAAAUCCUGUAGCUUAACUGUGGGAAUUGCUGGAGAUACUAUUAGACUUGAGACCGGGAGAGGUUAGAGGUACUCCCAGGGUAGAGGUGAAAUUCUGUAAUCCUGGGAGGACCGCCUGUUGCGAAGGCGUCUAACUGGAACGGUUCUGACGGUGAGGGACGAAAGUUAGGGGCGCGAACCGGAUUAGAUACCCGGGUAGUCCUAACUGUAAACGAUGCGGACUUGGUGUUGGGGUGGCUUUGAGCUGCUCCAGUGCCGAAGGGAAGCUGUUAAGUCCGCCGCCUGGGAAGUACGGUCGCAAGACUGAAACUUAA